rfam:Rattus norvegicus chromosome 1, whole genome shotgun sequence.
UAAAGAAUUGAUGAAAACCAGUGAAGAUCAAACGUUCAUCUCAACUGCUUUUACAAAAGCAGAAUAAAAUGAAGUAAAAAUUC